rnacentral:rRNA from 1 species
AAGUAAGUAAGGGCGUAUGGCGGAUGCCUAGGCUCUCAGAGGCGAAGAAGGACGUGAUAAGCUGCGAAAAGCUACGGGGAUUGGCACAUACAAAUUGAUCCGUAGAUAUCCGAAUGGGGCAACCCACUAUAUUGAAGAUAUAGUAUCCUGUAAAGGAGGCGAACCCGGAGAACUGAAACAUCUAAGUACCCGGAGGAGAAGAAAACAAAAGUGAUUCCGAUAGUAGCGGCGAGCGAAAUUGGAUUAGCCCAAACCAGUAUUGUUACGGCAAUGCUGGGGUUGUAGGACCACGAUAUUCGAGUCAAGAUGAAUUAGAACAGUUUGGAAAGACUGACCAAAGAGGGUGAUAGUCCCGUAUAAGUAAAGAAUGAUAAGAUAGUGGUAUCCUGAGUAGUGCGGGGCACGUGUAACCCUGUGUGAAUCAGUCGGGACCAUCCGAUAAGGCUAAAUACUCCUGAGAGACCGAUAGUGAACUAGUACCGUGAGGGAAAGGCGAAAAGAACCCCGG